UACGAAGGGGGCUAGCGUUGUUCGGAUUUACUGGGCGUAAAGCGCACGUAGGCGGUUUGUUAAGUCAGGGGUGAAAUCCCGGAGCUCAACUCCGGAACUGCCUUUGAUACUGGCAAGCUAGAGUCCGGAAGAGGUAAGUGGAACUCCUAGUGUAGAGGUGGAAUUCGUAGAUAUUAGGAAGAACACCAGUGGCGAAGGCGGCUUACUGGUCCGGAACUGACGCUGAGGCGCGAAAGCGUGGGGAGCAAACAGG
rnacentral:rRNA from 1 species